UGAAAACCCUAAUUUAGUAGCAUUUCUCUUCAGACCCUUAAAUACUCCCUCUUUUGGACCCCUUAAAAACCCUACUGGAUGAGGUCCUCUCCAAACUGUAGUUCCAGGUUCGGGUUCUAAGCUUUCCCCGUUUACACUUGUAUGAUUCUUAGUAUUUUGACCUUCCGUUUUCUUUCUUAUUGAGCCAUAAAUCUGGUGUGUUCAUUUUCUUUUCAUUUAUACUUAUUUAUAACUCCUGGGAUUGUUUCAAUUGAAUUUUCUCAUGCGUGUUGUUAUUCAUUUGUUUUUGUGAUGAAUUGGUUAUUGCCCUUUAUAUAUAAAUGCUCUUGAAUCAGUUGUAUUUGGUUUUACUCUGGUUUUCCCUUUAUAGCACUAUUUCAGAUUAUUAUCUCCUUUAUCUAGCUGCAUAUAUCGUUUAGGGCCGGUGAAAUUAGUGGUUUUUCUGACUUAUCUUGCUUGUAAAUAUGAGGUUUAAGCUCUGUUUCGUUGAAUUCGAGGUUUUUCAUGAUUAAAGACUUAAUUAAUUUAUUUUCCAUAAAAUAAACUGUUAUUAAAACCAAGGUUCUAAUGUUUGGGAUUUGGCUUUCUACCUAUUGGAGGCCAAAUCCAGUAACCCAUAAAUUGUCAAUUGUUAUGAAUUUAUAAAAUGCGCAAGAAUUUCAAUAUGUAAACUACUAGUUACUCGUAAGAAUCAGAAAGCAUUAUAAAAUCUCAAAUGGGAUGCACUCUCAAACAUGCACCACUUGCAGUAAUUAUGCCUGAUUGUUUUUUUAAACUGAAUCGAUGUCUCGAAGUACUUCUGAUGCCUUCUUAUGCUUAUUCCACGAUUUCCAACUCUUAUAAGGAAAAUUUUAUAUAAGGAUGCAACCUUACUUAUAGAAAUAAGGGUGCAUUUAUCUAUACCAUCCGUUCUAUUUGAACGGUAUAGAUUUGACACUGUCUCAAAAGAUGUGCUAUUUUUUUUACUCUGCUUUAAUAGACGUGUCAAAUCUAUACUGUCAAACUAAAAUUGAUGGUGCAAACACCACAAACCUUACUUUACAAGUAAGGUUGCAUCCUUAUACAAACCGCACCCAUUAAUGCUAUAUAAUAUAAAUAUGUAGAAUCCUAAUUUUUUUACUAUUAAUACAAAUGGUAACCUUACUAAAAAAGAAUAUAUAGAAUCCUAAAUAUUCAUGAGAAAUAGGAAGAUAUUGUAAAAACUCAAAAUAUAACUGGUCUUUGCACAACUUUUUCUGCUGCUCUGUUUCAUUUUUGGGGUUGCAUUGACUCUUAAUAGAGAUUUGAAAGGCUGAAGCUAGUGUAGCAUAAGUCUCUAAGUCCUAUAGUUAGCAUUGUGUAGAAACCUUGAAGGGAGAAUUGGGGCUUGCUUGAAUUGACUUGAUUCAGCGACUUGAAGAGUUUUUUUUUUUUUUCUAUUAGAAAAGAGAAAAAAACAAGGCAAGGGAAAUAUUUGGAUUUCGAGUUGCAGGAUCUUUUUAAGACUCAGGUGACUACUCAAGCCAUUACAUAAUCUUAGAAGUUGUUGAGACUUGAAAAAGUUGUUAAAUUGAAAUGAGACUUGGUUAGCCUGCUUGGCUUGAGACGAAGGGGAAUUCUGAACUGAGUGUGAUUGGCCCUGCUGGCUGUCUCAAUUGAGCCAACUUGGAUGGUUUCAUGAUCUUUCCUGUUACUAACUCAAACAAGUCCUGAGCUCUUCCUCGAGUCUUUAGGCUAUGGUUGGAAUCAGAAAAUAUUUGUAGUAUAAUUAAAGCCAAUUUGGACUUGCUGGUUCUGCCCAAUUUUUUCAAACCAGAAGCAGUGAUGUUCCUGGAAUUGAUAGGUGGCAGGUCUCAGGUCUCAAGUUGUGCCUUCGGACCCUUUUAAGGUAUGCAAAUUCCCCCACUUCUGCUGGCUGUUUAAGCAGUAUGUGUCUGCUCUGGUUUUAAUGACGCUUGCAUGUAUAAAUGCUGGGUUUUAAAAGGUGUGAGGUGACCCCUAGGUGGCCUAGGAUCACGACUAUAGGGGUUUAACAGAUUUUGAAUGGUUUUGAAUAAUAUUUGGUUCUUUAGCAUUUUAUUUUGAAAGAAGCAUUGGUUCAUACAAAAAAAUUUGAGUUUGAGGUGGGGCUGUAUCACUGCUUUUGCAUGUGAUGUUGUGAGUGUAUGUGUCUGUGUGACAUUGUUUGUGUGGAUCUAUGGUAGUACAAUAUGAGAGUUGUAUGUGACACACUCAUAAUUUUAACUGAACCUAAUAAGCAACAAUAGUUGUUCAUGUACCAUUAUUCUCCCUUCACACAUUUGGAUUUGAUACUCCACAGUACACGAACAACUAUUGUUGCCUAUUAAAGAGGGAAAAUGGGCAUAGCACCCCUAUGGAAAAUGGGCAUAAUACCCCGAGGCCGUGCUAGAUGGAUUCCAUUUGGCUAGUCAGAGAAGACCAAAUCCGCCCACUCCCAAGGCCUCAGCUUUCUGAAACAGUCUAAUGUAUGACAAAAAAAUAUUUAUGUAUUAAGGUGAGAUGAAUCAAGCAUAAGGUGCAAAUUUUCUAGUAUGGUUUAGUGCAUAGUGUUUUUAUCAAUAAUUAAUUCUACUUAGGUCUUGGGCGUGCUUGUAAUACAAUGCAUGGUUUUUAUGCAAUAGUACAGUACCUGAGUUGGGCGGAGAAGUCAAAGGUCUGAACCUUGGUUUCAUCACAUUUGCAAAUCGAGCUAAUUUACACAAAUUGAUACUGAUAGUUGUUGCAGAAGUGAGUGGUAGUGCUAAUAGUUGUAGUUGUAGUUUGUAAAGUAAUGGUGGUAGAAGUGGUGGUGACAUAAGUAAUGGUAGUAGCAAUAACUAAUAGUACUAGAUUGGUAGUUAGUACAUGGCAGUUGGUCAUUUUUGGUAGUUGGAAGUAGGUUGGUAGUUAGUACAUGGCAGUUGGUCGUUUUGGUAGUUGGUAUGUGGUAGCAGUCUUGUUGGUGGUGAUGGUGGUGGUGGUGGUGGUGGUGGUGGUGGUGGGUGGUGGUGGUGAUAUUUGUCAUGGUACUAGCUGUGAUAAUGGUAGUGUUAGUGAUGCUACUAGUUAGAGUUGCAGGGGUCUUCACCAUUUUUGUCUAGAAGUCUCGUUGGUGGUGGUGCUAUUUAUGGUAAUAUUGGUGGUGGUAAUUGUAUUUAUUGGAAUUGUAAUAGUUAGAGGUCAGUGUUCUUUACUUUUUUGUCUUUAGUUGGUUGCAGUAGUGGAGAUAGUGGUGCUUGCAGUCAUGGUGGUGGUCAGUAUUUUCAAUGGUAUCAUCUCAUUUAGUCAAUGGAUAUGCUUGCCAUAAUGCUUGUUCAUUCCCCUUAGACAUGUUUGCUUACAAACACAAUAAUUUUGAUUUGGCAUAGAUGUGAGUAUGCUCAUAGCAGUGCAAUCCCCUAGAAUGAAUGGAUGCCGACUUUUUUAUCAUGUUCGCCAUCACCAAUUACAAUUGUGGAAUUAUCUUCUGCUGCCUCGAGAAACUAUUUUUCCUCUUUUUUCUUUAGGGGGGGGGGGGGAGGGUGGAGGAUAUUGUACUGUUAAACUUGUACACUCGGUUUUGGGUAGGAGAGACCACUGAGUUUGGUUGAUACAGAAAAGGCUGCAAAAAGUUUUUCCUAGAGGGAGAGAGAACAAGAGAGUUUACAGGGAAAUGUAACGGAGGCAAACCGUGGCUGUCAAAGAAAAACUAGUGUCAUCUCAAUGGGUUAGGGGUCGGGGGAGACAACAAUGGCAGGGACGGAGACCCUCAGAUGAGCAAGACAAUCUGGCUCUGAAUUCGCUUCGCAGAGCUAUCUCGGAAGGGAACUGAGAGGUCUUGGCAAUGAAAAAAAAUCUGCUGAAAAUAUCAUCUAAUCUCUAAGGGCACUGUGCAGCUUUGUUGGCCCUAGAGAUGAGUUUGAGGGAGUCAACUUCAAUAAGGAGCGAUUUGCUCCCAUUCUCGGUGGCAUAACAGGGAACUGCCACGCAACAAUGCAAGGGGCUUCACAAGUGAAGCAUCCACGGUUUCCAUAGGUCCCGAGAAGGUUAGGAUAGUUUCCCUGCAGGCUGCAGUCCACCAAUGCCUGCUGGUCCAGGGUUAUGAUGAGCACUACCCUCAAAAUUUAAAUUCAUAACCUGUGGAUUGGGGGGUGUAUUGUUAUUACAAGUUUGGUUGAGCCCUUUGAUGAACCAGAAAUAUCCUUUGUUAAAUAGGCAGAACUGGAGCUUGUCUUAAUUUUCAUCCUUGCAUUAUUUAUUUUACCUCAGCAAGUGCAAAUUAUAUUACAGUUAACACUUUAAAAAAAAAGUGCAAAUUGUGUUGAGCAAAAUCACUUUUAAGAAACAGAAGCCAACUAUACAAUUUCUUUCCUUUGAAAUUCCAUUUGAUUGCUUGAUUUAUUGGACCUCAUGGAUGAGCGGCAGGUUUUGAAAUGUUGAAACCUUUCUUACUUUUUGCUUUGUUUAUCUACACUUCUUUCUGGUUCACUGGGAAGGAGCUUCACAUUUGGGAAGACUAUUCAUGUGGAGUUUAAACCAGUGAUACAUUAAGGUCUUCUGCAUUUGGUGUCCUGUACCAACAAGUGAUUGUUUGCAGAUGAUAAAUGCAGAAACAUUUCGUCUAUGUUCUUGAAUUUUUGCAGUGAUUUUUCUGAAACCCAUCUAGUGAUACAAUCAUUUACAUGUUUUUGUUCAGGUUUAAUAAGACUAUUAGCAUGAAUAAAGAACAGGGAUGCAUAGCAGUCUGCAACUAUGCAUCAGUUUAGUUUGCUGACUUUUGGAACUAGGAAAGAAAAACAAGAGAGAGAAUAACCCAUUUUAUUGUAUAUGGAUUCUUGAGACAUUGAGGGUAUGAAGUCAUUCACUCCAUCACGACUGUUUAUAGGAACAUGUUAGAGAAACAACUCCAUAGGCACCGAAAAACGGGGUAAUAAACUUCAAUGAUAUUUUAAAUAGUAUGUACACAGCACCCACAUGGUGAGCCCCAUACAUCACCAAAUAUUACUCUGAAAUACCAAACACAACACUAAGAAUACCAUACGCCGCAAACCCCCACUUCAAUUACCCUGUAACAUGAGAGAGAGAGAGAGAGAGAGACAGACAGACGCGAGUCAUGCAACUGCAACUCCAGUUAGGUGGGGCUGCCUCUCUGAUCCUUUCUCUGCAACUCCGGUUAGGUGGGGCUGCCUCUCCGAUCCUUUCUCUGGCAACCGAUCUGAGGGCACCUUUCUCUUCGAAUUGGUCUUAGGAACAGGGGCUAAGGGUCUAAUGUAGUUUCUGAGUUUCAUAACAUCUCCUAACCGUAGCGGCUUUAGUAUGAACUCUUCUGCACCUAUGGCAAGACAACUGCACAAGAAACUGUGUUAUAAAAAUAAAUUAUUUAUCCAGUUUCGAUAUCCUUGCUCUAGAACAAAUAGCGGUCUCUUGUGAUCAGUUUCCCUAGUCAGUACUAUGCUUGUUUUGGCUUUUUUUGGACAAACUACAGUAACUCAAGCCCUUGACCUCGUCACCUAAAUCGAUAUGUCUACAAGCCUUAGGGACAAAAGAAACAAAGUUAAAAUUCAAUUAAAAUAAAUACUGCAAGAAAACAGUAAUGUCAACAUUUAACAAUAAUUAGCAAUGUAUAAAUAGUGAUAAUAACAAUAAUAGUGAUAAUCAUAUAAUAAGCCACCUUAGAUUUUUUUAGAGAAUAGUAAGAUGAAUGUAAUGAUUUGGUUGUUUUGGUGGAAGCAUCUUAGCAGAGGUCGGCUUCACAAAUAUUUUGAUGUUUCUUCUCUAGGCAACAAAAUAUAGCAUGUAGGCCCACAAACAUUGUGUUCUUAUUUGAGAGGUUUUUGUCUUUCUCCCACAUUUUGUUCCUUCUUGAAGAAAGGAAAAGUUGUCAUGUUAAUUAGAUGCCCUACUCAAUGCAGAUACCCUUACAAAUGACUUAAAAGUACAAUGUGCAUUCAAUGUUUACAAUCUUUUAUUCAGAAUGUGAACUUUUUAAAUUUUGGCAUAUGCACAUUCAGUUAACAAUGGAAAAAUAUGCAACACGAAAAAGAAUAGGAAAAAUGAAAAGAUCCAAAACAGUGAAGAAAAUCUUCUGAAAUAGGGGAAUCAGAACUGGAAGAGGUCUGAACAGGGGAUUUGGAGGGUUCUGGAGCACAAGGCUGCGGCUGAAAAACGAAUCCCAGCAAGGGAAACUCUGCAAAUCCAUCAUCUCCAUCUCCAACUGGUUUGCAAGCCAUCAUGAUAUCUUUUGAGAGAAGGUUAACAUUUUUUGUUUUUUUUUUUUUGAGAGAAGGUUUUAAUUUUUUUUUUUUUUGAGAGAGAAGGUUAACAUAAAGCCAUCAUGAUGUUUUCUUGCACAAAUUUUUAGUUUACUGACAUGAAUUUUAAUUGCAAGAAUAUAGAGCCGCAGUCUCACCAAAAACCUCUUCCUUUAAACAUGUAAAAGUUUAAAUAUAGUACAAUUAAGAUGCAGUCCCCUUUUUUAAAUCUACAUUAGGGAUGGAUCUAGAAGUAGUGAAAGAUACAGGGACUUAUGGCCUUAUUGAAAGUAUGACUCUUAACAUAGCAAAAUGACGGACCAAGAUUCGUGUAACGAUCUCAAUUAGUUGAGAAAAGACUUUGACAAUGAUGAUGAUUUAUGAUUUUGCAGCUUAAAAUAUAGUGGCAAUGAGAUGUUCUCAAAUAAUUAAAAAUAAACAUUCCAGUAAAUAUAUAUUAUUAUUGUAAGGCUCAAGAUCCAUUUUUUUACAAAUUUGUUAUCGGGCUGGUUGAAAUUAUCCAUAUGUUAAAUUUUAGGUCCAAAAUGCAUGUCCAAGAUGGAUUUUUGAAGGAGACGGAUUUUUGAAGGAGACAUUUGAAUAGGCAAGUGAGCUACCACAAACCAUCCAAUGAAUAAAUGCAAAUGUUAUUUGAGAUUGUACAUCAUGGCACUGUGUACCAUAUUACAUGAAUGCAAUAUAUCAUCUCAACCGUCCAUUUCCAAAAUGGAUAGUCAUAUAUGAAGUGAAAGCUACACCAGUAACUCCCAACUAAUUGCCAACCAAGCUAGAAAAGACCCAUUGUCAUCUAUAAUUUGCUCAUUUUGGAUUUGAUGGUUAAGAUGCUAUGUACCAUAGAACAUGGUGCAUGGCAUCUUCUCAACCCUAAAAUCAGUGUUUAAAAACGAGGACUGGUGAAGUGAUUGCCAACCAGUCUACGCCAUUGGCCCAGUCGGCGACUCAAUUACACCUACUCGGCCAACUAAAAAAAGGGUAAACAAAACAAAAAAAAAAUCUAAUCAAAAUGUAAAGAGUUUAAAAUGUUUAAACAAGGCCCAGGAACUUCAAAUCUUCCUAAAAACUUCAGUUUUAUCAUGAUAGAACUCCUAAAAACUUUAGUUUUAUAAGGAUAAAACUCUUUUUAAUGUUGUUUGUACACUCCUAGGUCCAAGUUUUGAUACAGGGAUAGACGAGGUUCGGGUGGGGCUAGUUCAGAUUCGGCUCAGGCAGUUCAGAGUUGGAUAAGCAAAAUGCAGAAGAG
rnacentral:lncRNA from 1 species